CCGUAGGUGAACCUGCGGAAGGAUCAUUAAUGAAUUGAAAGGGAGUUGAUGCUGGC
rnacentral:rRNA from 1 species